GACGAACGCUGGCGGCGUGCCUAAUACAUGCAAGUAGAACGCUGAAGGAGGAGCUUGCUUCUCCGGAUGAGUUGCGAACGGGUGAGUAACGCGUAGGUAACCUGCCUGGUAGCGGGGGAUAACUAUUGGAAACGAUAGCUAAUACCGCAUAACAGUAGAUAUCGCAUGAUAUCUGCUUGAAAGGUGCAAUUGCAUCACUACCAGAUGGACCUGCGUUGUAUUAGCUAGUUGGUGAGGUAACGGCUCACCAAGGCGACGAUACAUAGCCGACCUGCGAGGGUGAGCGGCCACGCUGGGACUGGGACACGGCCCAGACUCCUACGGGAGGCAGCAGUAGGGAAUCUUCGGCAAUGGACGGAAGUCUGACCGAGCAACGCCGCGUGAGUGAAGAAGGUUGUCGGAUCGUAAAGCUCUGUUGUAAGAGAAGAACGAGUGUGAGAGUGGAAAGUUCACACUGUGACGGUAUCUUACCAGAAAGGUACGGCUAACUACGUG
rnacentral:rRNA from 1 species